CAGGAAGUAGUUUAAUUAGAACGUCAGCUUUGGGUGCUGAUAGUGAGGAGGAGUAUCCUUCUCUUGA
rnacentral:tRNA from 1 species